AUACGUAGGGGGCGAGCGUUGUCCGGAAUGAUUGGGCGUAAAGGGCGCGUAGGCGGCUUUGCAAGUCAGUAGUGGAAGUCCAUUUUUCAAGGAUGGAAGUGCUACAGAAACUGCGGAGCUUGAGUGCAGGAGAGGUUAUCGGAAUUCCCGGUGUAGCGGUGAAAUGCGUAGAGAUCGGGGGGAACACCAGUGGCGAAGGCGGGUAACUGGACUGCAACUGACGCUGAGGCGCGAAAGUGUGGGGAGCAAACAGGAUUAGAUACCCUGGUAGUCCACACUGUAAACGAUGAAUGCUAGGUGUAGGAGGUAUCGACCCCUUCUGUGCCGCAGUAAACACAGUAAGCAUUCCGCCUGGGGAGUACGGUCGCAAGAUUAAAACUCAAAGGAAUUGACGGGG
rnacentral:rRNA from 1 species